rnacentral:rRNA from 1 species
UGGGGAAUAUUGCACAAUGGGCGAAAGUCUGAUGCAGCAACGCCGCGUGAGUGAUGAAGGCCUUCGGGUUGUAAAGCUCUGUCUUUUGGGACGAUAAUGACGGUACCAAAGGAGGAAGCCACGGCUAACUACGUGCCAGCAGCCGCGGUAAUACGUAGGUGGCAAGCGUUGUCCGGAUUUACUGGGCGUAAAGGAUGCGUAGGCGGAUUUUUAAGUGAGAUGUGAAAUACCCGGGCUUAACUUGGGUGCUGCAUUUCAAACUGGGAAUCUAGAGUGCGGGAGAGGAGAAUGGAAUUCCUAGUGUAGCGGUGAAAUGCGUAGAGAUUAGGAAGAACACCAGUGGCGAAGGCGAUUCUCUGGACCGUAACUGACGCUGAGGCAUGAAAGCGUGGGUAGCAAACAGGAUUAGAUACCCUGGUAGUCCACGCCGUAAACGAUGAGUACUAGGUGUAGGAGGUAUCGACCCCUUCUGUGCCGCAGUUAACACAAUAAGUACUCCGCCUGGGAAGUACGAUCGCAAGAUUAAAACUUAAAGGAAUUGAC